rnacentral:rRNA from 1 species
AAUGAACGUUGGCGGCGUGGAUUAGGCAUGCGAGUCGCGCGAGAAUCGUAGCAAUACGAGGAAAGCGGCGAAAGGGAGAGGAAUACGUAGAAAUCUGCCCUCGGGGCUGGGAUAGCGGCGGGAAACUGCCGGUAAUACCAGAUAACGUCUUCGGACCAAAGGUGUGAUUCCGCCUGAGGAUGAGUCUACGACCUAUUAGCUUGUUGGCGGGGUAAUGGCCCACCAAGGCGGCGAUGGGUAGCAGGUGUGAGAGCACGACCUGCCUCAUUGGGACUGAGACACUGCCCAGACACCUACGGGUGGCUGCAGUCGAGAAUCUUCGGCAAUGGACGAAAGUCUGACCGAGCGACGCCGCGUGCGGGAUGAAGGCCUUCGGGUUGUAAACCGCUGUCGUAGGGAACCAAAUUCACGGGGGUUCUCCCCUGUGAUUGAGAGAACCUAGGAGGAAGGAGAGGCUAAGCUCGUGCCAGCAGCCGCCGUAA